GUGAACACUCAGCACUGUCUCCUUCUGGAUCCAGCCAUCACGCAGCUAAACUCUGAGAGCGAUCUCAAGUUUUCGCAAGGGAUCCCGCUCUUAUCAGAUGUCCCCCACAGCGAUGCUCCUGCUCAUGAUCAUGCCAGCACCUCGCAGCAGCCACAGCCUUCUCUGGGAGACGAGAAGAUGUCAUUCUACACCUCAGCGGACACAGUCCAGUUUGACCUUCCACAUAUUUCCGACGACCUAGGCGAGGCUGAGUACAGGCGUUGGAUGAUAGCAUCGACGAAGAAGAACAACAGCCUCAAGAGGGUCAUGCAGAUGCUUACCCGAGGGUGUCAUGGCAGCACAGAGACAACAGCCAGGUCUCCGGAGAAGCAUCCGAGACGCAAACAUCGCACCCGGUCAAUUUGGGAGUGAGAGCCCGGAUGACACCACCACUCACUGAUCUCUAGUAAAACCUCUC
rnacentral:lncRNA from 1 species